UACGAAGGGGGCUAGCGUUGUUCGGAAUUACUGGGCGUAAAGGGCUCGUAGGUGGCCAACUAAGUCGGACGUGAAAUCCCUCGGCUUAACCGGGGAACUGCGUCCGAUACUGGAUGGCUUGAGUUUGGGAGAGGGAUGCGGAAUUCCAGGUGUAGCGGUGAAAUGCGUAGAUAUCUGGAGGAACACCGGUGGCGAAGGCGGCAUCCUGGACCAACACUGACACUGAGGAGCGAAAGCCAGGGGAGCAAACGGG
rnacentral:rRNA from 1 species